rnacentral:rRNA from 1 species
UACAGAGGUCCCAAGCGUUGUUCGGAUUCACUGGGCGUAAAGGGUGCGUAGGUGGUCGGGUAAGUCUGAUGUGAAAUCUCUGGGCUCAACCCAGAAAUGGCAUUGGAUACUAUUCGGCUAGAGGAGUGGAGGGGGGACUGGAAUACUUGGUGUAGCAGUGAAAUGCGUAGAUAUCAAGUGGAACACCAGUGGCGAAGGCGAGUCCCUGGACACUUCCUGACACUGAGGCACGAAAGCUAGGGGAGCAAACAGG